rnacentral:snRNA from 1 species
CAAGGUUCAAGAACGGAUC